GACGAACGCUGGCGGCGUGCUUAACACAUGCAAGUCGAACGGAAAGGCUCUGCUUUUUUGGGGUUCUCGAGUGGCGAACGGGUGAGUAACACGUGAGUAACCUGCCCUUGACUUUGGGAUAACUUCAGGAAACUGGGGCUAAUACCGGAUAGGAGCUCCUGCUGCAUGGUGGUGGUUGGAAAGUUUCGGCGGUUGUGGAUGGACUCGCGGCUCACCAGCUUGUUGGUGGGGUAGUGGCUUACCAAGGAUUUGACGGGUAGCCGGCCUGAGAGGGUGACCGGCCACAUUGGGACUGAGAUACGGCCCAGACUCCUACGGGAGGCAGCGGUGGGAGAUAUUGCACAAUGGGCGGAAGCCUGAUGCAGCAACGCCGCGUGCGAGAUGACGGCCUUCGGGUUGUAAACCGCUUUCGCCUGUGACGAAGCGUGAGUGACGGUAAUGGGUAAAGAAGCAACGGCUAACUACGUG
rnacentral:rRNA from 1 species